GGUUUCUGUACAGCACUUUUGAGAUAUCAGCUGAUGUAAGAAGGGCUAUAUAAAUAAGUUUGAUUUGAUUUUUGCCAAGGAAAGUGAAAAGGACUGAGGGAAAGUAAAAUGGAAAAUACUAAAAACGGACACAGAUUUAUUAUUUAUUCCCCCCCCCCAAUUUGUUUAUGUAUUUGUCUUAAUGAAUCUAAAUGGUAUUUUCUACAUACUUUCACGUUAGCAGUCCAUCAGGCCAAUAGAUGGCACUGUUGCACUGUUGUAGCAGGAGAAACAGCAAGUUCUGGUCAAGCGCUCAUCAUUCUGCAGAAUAAGGACCAGAACGUUACAGCAGUUCAUCGUGGCCCUGUCGCUUGCCUCCUUCACCAAAGCUCUGUCAGGGACCUACAUGAAGAGUGCCAUCACUCAGAGAGACACUUUGACCUGUCCAGCUUUCUCAUCGGACUCUUUGAGAUGGGUAACCUGCUGUUCCUGGCUGUGGUCAGCCAUUUUGGGGCGAAGCUGCACCGGCCCAGGCUCAUUGCUAUGGGCUGUUUCAUCAUUGCUGUAGAAUCCUUCCUCACAGGCCUGCCACACUUCUUCAUGGGAUGGUAAAACAACUGAAAUACUGGUUAAACUUGUACUUUUAGAGAUACUCUAAUGCGGAGGAUAGUUUCACUUUAGAAAUAAAUAAAUGUAUCCAGUUGUCGAUUAAUCUGAGUUAACUUAGAACUAGUCUUGCGUAAUUGGUCAGCUGCUUGAUUAUGUUUUGGGGCCAUACAUGUUAAGAGAAGGGAUUAAGAGAUGCUUUAACGGUGAUGUGGUAAAGUUGGACCCAGGUGCAGAGAAGAGACCAGAAGAUGAAGCAGUGGUUCCAACCAGUGUCUCCACCCCUCAAGGGCCCACUUAACUGCCAAGAGCUCCCGGUUACCUACAUCGUAGUUGCCUACCGGUGGUCGAGAACCGCUUGGAGAGAAAGGCUCAUAGGUGAAGUUUCUUGUCCUCCUCUUUUCGCUGUGAAAGGACCGCCCCAUCUCCGGUAUCCGAGAUGUCCACCUCUACCACAAAGGGGCGAGUAGGAUCAGGAUAAACGAGGAUGGGUCCGGAGGUGAAACGUCCCUUGAUCUCUGUGAAUGCCCUGUCAGCCUCGGGAUUCCUGCAAAAACCUGCUUGAGUGAGGUGGGACAGGGCCGUAUGUGUUCCUGAAGUGUUUUUGGAGAAGAUCAGGAUGUCGUCGAGAUUUUAAGCGUUGCAGAGGUCCAGUUUGGUGAAGAAUUGGGCUCCUAUGGCCAACUCCAAGGCGGCGGACAUCGGGUGAACAUCAUCACUCCCCAAUCAGUCAACAAUCAAUCAUCA